AACGAACGCCGGCGGCGUGCCUAAUGCAUGCAAGUCGAGCGGCAACAGGCCCUUACCUCUGGUAAGGAUGCUGGCGAGCGGCGAACGGGUGAGUAAUACGUGGGUAACCUACCCUGAAGAAGGGGAUACCCCACCGAAAGGUGGAUCAAUACCCUAUAAUCUCCUGGAAGGCAACUUCCAGGAGGAAAGGUGGCAGUUCUCUGCUACCGCUUCAGGAUGGGCUCACGGCCCAUCAGCUAGUUGGUGAGGUAAUGGCUCACCAAGGCUAUGAUGGGUAGCUGGUCUGAGAGGACGGUCAGCCACACUGGGACUGAGACACGGCCCAGACUCCUACGGGAGGCAGCAUG
rnacentral:rRNA from 1 species